rnacentral:rRNA from 1 species
UACGGAGGGUCCGAGCGUUAUCCGGAAUCAUUGGGUUUAAAGGGUCCGUAGGCGGGCCUGUAAGUCAGGGGUGAAAGUCUGUGGCUCAACCAUAGAAUUGCCUUUGAUACUGCAGGUCUUGAGUCAUGGUGGGGUCGCCGGAACAUGUGGUGUAGCGGUGAAAUGCAUAGAUAUCACAUAGAACACCGAUCGCGAAGGCAGGUGGCCAACCAUGUACUGACGCUGAUGGACGAAAGCGUGGGUAGCGAAC